rnacentral:rRNA from 1 species
GUGGGGAAUAUUGCACAAUGGGGGAAACCCUGACGCAGCAACGCCGCGUGAAGGAUGAAGGUCUUCGGAUUGUAAACUUCUUUUAUUAAGGACGAAGAAAGUGACGGUACUUAAUGAAUAAGCUCCGGCUAACUACGUGCCAGCAGCCGCGGUAAUACGUAGGGAGCAAGCGUUGUCCGGAUUUACUGGGUGUAAAGGGUGCGUAGGCGGCUUUGCAAGUCAGAUGUGAAAUCUAUGGGCUCAACCCAUAGCCUGCAUUUGAAACUGCAGAGCUUGAGUGAAGUAGAGGCAGGCGGAAUUCCCCGUGUAGCGGUGAAAUGCGUAGAGAUGGGGAGGAACACCAGUGGCGAAGGCGGCCUGCUGGGCUUUAACUGACGCUGAGGCACGAAAGCGUGGGUAGCAAACAGGAUUAGAUACCCUUGUAGUCC